rnacentral:rRNA from 1 species
UACGUAGGGUGCGAGCGUUAAUCGGAAUUACUGGGCGUAAAGCGUGCGCAGGCGGUUCGUUGUGUCGGCGGUGAAAGCCCCGGGCUCAACCUGGGAAUGGCCGUUGAAACUGGCGAACUGGAGUGUGGCAGAGGGGGGUGGAAUUCCGCGUGUAGCAGUGAAAAGCGUAGAGAUGCGGAGGAACACCGAUGGCGAAGGCAGCCCCCUGGGCUGACACUGACGCUCAGGCACGAAAGCGUGGGGAGCAAACAGG